rnacentral:ncRNA from 2 species
CUCUUAUCAAGAGAGGUGGAGGGAAGUGCCCUAUGAAGCCCGGCAACCAUCAACUAUGUUGAAAUGGUGCCAAUUCACUCGAAGCAAUCUGCUUUGGAAGAUGAGAG